rnacentral:misc_RNA from 1 species
UACGGAGGAUGCGAGCGUUAUCCGGAUUUAUUGGGUUUAAAGGGUGCGUAGGCGGUUUAUCAAGUCAGCGGUUAAAUGUCCGGGCUCAACCCUGGCCUGCCGUUGAAACUGAUGAACUGGAGAUAGUGUGGAGUAUGCUGAAUGCGCAGUGUAGCGGUGAAAUGCAUAGAUAUUGCGCAGAACUCCGAUCGCGAAGGCAGCAUACUAACGCUAAUCUGACGCUGAGGCACGAAAGCGCGGGUAUCGAACAGG